GAUGAAGAACGUAGCGAAAUGCGAUAAGUAAUGUGAAUUGCAGAAUUCCGUGAAUCAUCGAAUCUUUGAACGCACAUUGCGCCCCCUGGCAUUCCGGGGGGCAUGCCUGUCCGAGCGUCAUUUCUGCCCUCCAGCCCGGCUGGGUGUUGGGCGCUGUCCCCCCGGGGACACGCCCCAAAGGCAGUGGCGGCGCCGCGUCGGGUCCUCGAGCGUAUGGGGCUUUGUCACCCGCUCGGGACGGACUCGUCGGCGCUGGUCUUCCUCCAGGCGACCCUUCGGGGCUCGUCUUCCUUCGGUUGGCCUCGGAUCAGGUAGGGUUACCCGCUGAACUUAAGCAUAUCAUAAGCGGAGGA
rnacentral:misc_RNA from 1 species